rnacentral:rRNA from 1 species
UAGGGAAUAUUGCAAAAUGGGCGAAAGCCCGAUGCAGCAACGCCGCGUGGGCGAUGAAGGCCUUCGGGUCGUAAAGCCCUUUUUGAGGGGAUGAGGAAGGACAGUACCCUCAGAAUAAGCCUCGGCUAACUACGUGCCAGCAGCCGCGGUAAAACGUAGGAGGCGAGCGUUAUCCGGAUUUACUGGGCGUAAAGCGCGUGCAGGCGGAUUGGAGAGUUGGAUGUGAAAGCUCCCGGCUUAACUGGGAGAGGUCGUUCAAUACUUCCAGUCUUGAGUGCAGUAGAGGGAAGUGGAAUUCCGGGUGUAGUGGUGAAAUGCGUAGAUAUCCGGAGGGACACCAGUGGCGAAAGCGGCUUCCUGGACUGUAACUGACGCUCAGACGCGAAAGCUAGGGUAGCAAACG